UGGCAUCGAUGUUUUCACUUUUCACACGUAUGAGACGACGGGGAAAAGCUAGAGAGAGAAACAUACCGAGAAGAGAGAGAGGAAGGAGAAGCGAGAUAGGAAGAUGACUGAGAUCUCAAAUCGGAGAUCGUUAGGGUUUUUAUUACUACUCUCCUUAAUUUCUCUACAAUUUCUCUCAGGCUUAUCAGAUGAUUCAAAGUCUAAAAAAGAGGCAAAAACUGAUGCUCAUUCUUCUUCAAGUGGCAUGAGUGGAUCUACACUACUUAUAUUAUGCAUCGCAGUGGUAUCAGUUGCGGGUUUAUCAUUUUUCCUUUUCAAGCUAUGGCAAAAGAAGAAACGCGAAGAACGGUAUGCCCGUCUAUUAAAGCUGUUUGAAGAAGAUGAUGAACUUGAGCUUGAACUUGGUCUACGGGACUGAGCUGGUUAAUAUGAUGGAGAUGUAAAUGGCAAUUGUGGAUCAGAAAGACGAGUUCUAGUCACCAAUAGUAGAAUAUGGGCUGAAGAUGUAGAGACGCCAUGCCAGUGUCGUACAUGGUGAGGAGGUUUGAAUCUUCUUACUGAAAUUUGUAUUGAUAUGACCAAGAUACUAAACUUCCUUUUCCUUGACAUAUUCUUUAUCAUCGGGUCUGUUUUAUAGGGAAAAAUCGUUAUUUUGUGUGAAAUAUUAAGAUGUUGCAAUAUUGAAGUUGAUAAAGGCUUGUAAAUUUCAUAGUAUAUUACAUUGUCAGUUUGUCACCAA